rnacentral:lncRNA from 1 species
AUGAACCCAGUUGUGAACUGCACAUGUGAGGAAUGUGCACAAAGUCUCAGAAGGAGCUAGGCUGUGAGUUUCUUAUGAGAAUCUAAUACCUGGUGAUCUGUCACUGUCUCCCAUCACCCACAGAUGGGACCAACUAGUUGCAGGAAAGCCAGCUCACGGCUCCCACUGAUUCUACAUUAUGAAAUAUGAAGGGACACAAACAGUUUGGAAAGAAUUC